rnacentral:rRNA from 1 species
GACGAACGCUGGCGGCGUGCUUAACACAUGCAAGUCGAACGGAAAGGCCCUGCUUGCAGGGUGCUCGAGUGGCGAACGGGUGAGUAACGCGUGGGUGAUCUGCCCCUUACUUUGGGAUAAGCCUGGGAAACUGGGUCUAAUACUGGAUAGGACCAUGCUGUAGGUGGUGUGGUGGAAAGAUUAGUUUCGGUAAGGGAUGAGCUCGCGGCCUAUCAGCUUGUUGGUGGGGUAAUGGCCUACCAAGGCGUCGACGGGUAGCCGGCCUGAGAGGGUGGACAGCCACAUUGGGACUGAGAUACGGCCCAGACUCCUACGGGAGGCAGCAGUGGGGAAUAUUGCACAAUGGGCGCAAGCCUGAUGCAGCGACGCCGCGUGGGGGAUGACGGCCUUCGGGUUGUAAACUCCUUUCAGCCAUGACGAAGCCCUUGUGGUGACGGUAGUGGUAGAAGAAGCACCGGCUAACUACGUG